rnacentral:tRNA from 1 species
UGGGGUAUAGCUCAGUGGCAGAGCGCAUGCUUAGCAUGCAAGAGGUCCUGUGUUCAACCCCAGUUCCUUCA